CUCUUUCUCGCUCUCUCUCACACACGCACACACACCUCAGACAGAUUUGAAUAUAGAUUUAGGUUUUAAACCCAAAGCCAUAAACCGCAGCUUCGUCAAACCCCAGUUGCUUUCCUCUGGAAAUUCAUGCAUUUCAGCUCUCCUGUUAGCGUUGCGCCUCGGCGGGAGCAAAAUUCGUCUACAUGUGGCUCGGGAUUUGAACACGGCGUCGAUGGCAAUGAACUACAGACUGUCACGUCACACUCUCAAGAACAGGAACAAGACCGAAGACAAAGGUGAAAGCCUAUGCUAUCCGCACCUCUGCACAGGGCCCAGGGCCUUGCCACAAACAAAUGGAUUCAAUUAAAUAUCUCCCCCUUCUAAAUAUCAAUAUGUGAAUGUGGAGCGAGGCCCCGGCAAAUCCAACAAAGACAAACAACGCAAGCAGGACUGCUGAGGACUCGCAACCUCAAGAUGAUCUGGAAAUUGGAGUUGAUGUGCUGAGAAAGAUCCUCCAACAGAAGCAAAGAGCACCAGGUUAAGUGGGGUGAAUGGUGUAUGUGUUGCUGUUGUGAUCGGCCAGAUGAAACACCCCUGGGAGGUGGAGGAGAUGAAGUUCUGUGACAAGGUCACUGGCGGCCAAGAUGUCAUAGAGCCAGCCGUGACAGACUUGACCGCUCUCUCCUGCCUUAAUUUCUGCAGAAACCAUGAGCUAUCCUUUAUGCUAGCUUGAUAUACCAACGUAUGAGAUGUAACAAGUAGAACUUCAGGUGAAGCUGUGGCUAUUGAUACAGAGAGAAAGUAACAACCUCACUGGAUUGGAGUGCUCUCUCUGCCAAUCAGCUGCACAGAGUGCACUCCCCUCCCCCUGAUUUCCCUGCAGUCUGUCAGGCCAUACAAUUUAUUACAAGUUCAUAAAAUGUUCUUUGCAUUAUUAGUUUUAUGUAACUGCAAGAUACAAAUUACUUCCAUCUCUCUCUC